rnacentral:lncRNA from 1 species
AUUAGAUGUGCUCACACUGAUUCCCUACGAGACAGAUGAGAGAGACGAGCUCAGAAAGAAAUAGCCUGAAAGCAGACGAUGCAGGAUUUAUCCCGGAGCUCGAUCCCUGCUGGCUGGACCAGCUUGGAGUCACAUAUGAGGCAAAAGAGAUUUUAGCUACAUUUAUGGCUUUCAAUAAAGAUGAAAAACAAAAUUAAGUAUGUAUUUAUGUUGAGCAAUUUUAAAGAAAGACUCAGACUGGGCACGUCAUUCUCUCAGGUGAUAAAUUCCUGCUUUCAGCUAUGGAAAGACAACAUUACAAGUUUCGCAAGUAUUUACAAGCAUUACAGCUAUGAUUCUCUUAAUUUAAGUCCUGCUUCAGUCUCCUGGUCAAAUAACAGACCUGGUUCAUCAGUGUUCAAGUUGUUUUGUGUUUCAAAUCUCCAAAUCUUUGACCCUUACUCCAAGAAAGUUUAGAAUAAGUAUCAGAAAUGAGAGAGAAGCAAUAAAAAUGAGCAUUCCACUUUGAUCUAUUUCGAAUAUUUUGUGGUGCAAACAGAGAAUACUAGAGGAAGAAAUGGGUCUUCUUCAAAGCAGUAUUUUAAAUAGUGUAUGACAGCCAAUUACUGAAUCUUGCUGGGACUUGCACACUUUUUACUUCAAAUGACAAUGCAGAGGAAGCAGCAUUUCUGUCUACAGAUAACUUCUUUGAUGAGAAUAUUUAAGCAUUAAAACUGGAAGAAUAGAAUUAUAAUGGAAUUACACAAACCUCUGUACCUGGCUUUACUGAAACCAUUUGCUCCGGGUGUUAUUAAGUAUUUAAACUUUGCCAGUAUAUUUUAAACCAUGUAACUUCAAAAGAUAAAACCUAAAAGUUGCUGAUUGGAGGUACUGAAUAUUUGAAAAGUGCCUGGGUGAAUAUCAUCAAGAGAUCAUUUACAUUGAAGUAGAGAUAAAAUAAUGAAAUAAUAGCUUCACCAUAAAUCUACUUUGGAAGGUCUUUUUUUUAGGAAAAUAAUUGAUAAACACCUUGCAGUAGAAGUUAAAACUCUCACAACAACAGCCUAGAGAACACAAAUGGUGGAUAAGUAGUACAACAUGAGAAAAUGAGAGGAAGAGAAAGAACAGAAGAAAGAAGAAGGAAAAGGGAGAGAACAGCCAGGACGUGUUCCGAAGGUGCAGAUAAAUGGCAUGUAAAAAGUCCUCACCUUGGGAUGGUCAAAGGACUUUAAAACUUCAAUGAACAAGGUCUAUCAAUCACUUAGAAGGGUUUCGGUGAUCUGCUACAUGAACACCAACUCUUCCACCCUCUCCUCUUACCAUAUCUCUAGUAAAUGUGACAAAAUGCAACUGCGCAUGAGUGAGAACUUUUUGCCAAUAUUAAAGAAAAGGCUGAAUUUUACAUCUAGGUUUUCUAGCACAAAACUCAGGCAUCG